rnacentral:rRNA from 1 species
AGAAUCAACGCUGGCGGCGUGCCUCAGACAUGCAAGUCGAACGCGAAAGCCCCCUUCGGGGGGCAAGUAGAGUGGCGCACGGGUGAGUAACACGUAGGUAAUCUACCUUCGGAUGGGGAAUAACAACCGGAAACGGUUGCUAAUACCGCAUAAUGCAGCGGCACCUAAUGGUGACAGUUGUUAGAGCGGGGGGAUCGAAAGACCUCGCGUCUGAAGAGGAGCCUGCGGCGGAUUAGCUAGUUGGUAAGGUAAUGGCUUACCGAAGGCAACGAUCC